AUUGAACGCUGGCGGCAUGCUUUACACAUGCAAGUCGAACGGCAGCACGGGUGCUUGCACCUGGUGGCGAGUGGCGGACGGGUGAGUAAUACAUCGGAACGUGUCCAGAAGAGGGGGAUAACGCAUCGAAAGAUGUGCUAAUACCGCAUAUGCUCUGAGGAGGAAAGUAGGGGAUCGAAAGACCUUACGCUUUUGGAACGGCCGAUGUCUGAUUAGCUAGUUGGUGGGGUAAGGGCCUACCAAGGCUACGAUGGGUAGCUGGUCUGAGAGGAUGAUCAGCCACACUGGAACUGAGACACGGUCCAGACUCCUACGGGAGGCAGCAGUGGGGAAUAUUGCACAAUGGGCGCAAGCCUGAUGCAGCAAUGCCGCGUGAGUGAAGAAGGCCUUAGGGUCGUAAAGCUCUUUCAAACGGAAAGAAGGAUCUAAUGGCUAAUAUCCAUUGGAUUUGACGGUACCGUAAUAAGAAGCACCGGCUAAC
rnacentral:rRNA from 1 species